CGGGACGGGUGAGUAACACGUGGAUAACCUACCUAUAAGACUGGGAUAACUUCGGGAAACCGGAGCUAAUACCGGAUAAUAUAUUGAACCGCAUGGUUCAAUAGUGAAAGACGGUUUUGCUGUCACUUAUAGAUGGAUCCGCGCCGCAUUAGCUAGUUGGUAAGGUAACGGCUUACCAAGGCAACGAUGCGCAGCCGACCUGAGAGGGUGAUCGGCCACACUGGAACUGAGACACGGUCCAG
rnacentral:rRNA from 1 species